rnacentral:lncRNA from 1 species
CCUACAAUUUUAUAUUAAUGCUCAAUCAAUGUAAAUAGAAUGGACUAUCUUUUCUAUAUUAUUUAUAUAGCAUUCAUAGUAUGUCUUAAACAUAAAAAUAAAAUCAUCAACUAAGACGAGAUUACAAUAGAGAUUACAACUUAUUUAUAAGAAACUGAACUUGCUCACAAAACUAGAUAGUUAUUACAUUGGAAAUGAUAAAACUAGUGCAUGGAAGAGAGAGAGUGUUCUUGAAACAAUCAUUCCUUGCAUGUAGGAGAGAUAAACUUUCCAUGCAAUUAACCACCUAAUUUUCGUCACUCUUUGGACAGCAAAGAAACCAUUUGAUUUUGAAUCUUCUUGGACUUGUAACUUGAUAAAAAUGGGCUGGACAUGUUAGCUAAUAUCUUGGAUCAAUUUAUGAAUGUUUUCGAUGUCCAUAGCUUCACAUAUGAACCCAAUAUCACAUCAUACUCCUCCUCUUCAAAAAGGAUUUGUCUUCAAAUCUUGCUCUCCAAAGAAAGAAAAACUUGAACACACACUUCCCAAAUGAUCCAGCAGAUUUGAAAAACAUAAAUAAUAAAACUUUUUUUUUUGUAGAAGAUGAAUAGAUGAGAAUGAUGGAUAACAGAAGUGAAUACCAAACUCAGAGUGUUGCUCUGAUACCAAAUGAUGAAAAUCUCCCGAGGAUUCGGCACUCUAAGUUGGUAAAGAGGAUAAUCCUUGCUGCUAUGAAAUCGUAAAGCUUAGACAAAGAAUGUGGACUGAAUGGUCGCACGCGGAAGGCCUUCGAUAUUCCAACUCAAUGCCCUAGGAUAUGACGCACCUAGACGACAAUGAGGAUGAUUUCCUGGAUAUGACACACCAGGACGAAUCGGUUUGAUCCCUUGGAUAUGACGCACCAAGACGGAUCAAAAAUAUCAAUGGAUAUUACACACCAUUGAAAGAAAAGUGAGAAUCACUCUCAAGGUUCCAAAAAUAAUCACUCAAAGUUUAUUUUAUUUCAAUGGAAAUUACAACUUAUUUAUGAGAAACUAAACUUGCUCACAAAGCUAGAUAGUUAUUACAUUGGAAAUGAUAAAACUAGUGCAUGGAAGAGAGAGAGUGUUCUUGAAACAAUCAUUCCUUGCAUGUAGGAGAGAUAAGCUUUCCAUGCAAUUAACCACCUAAUUUUCGUCACUCUCUUUGGACAGCAAAGAAACCAUUUGAUUUUGAAUCUUCUUGGGCUUGUAACUUGAUAAAAAUGGGUUGGACAUGUUAGCUAAUAUCUUGGGUCAAUUUCUGAAU